UGAAUGGGAGGACAAAUGGAGAUAAAAAAAUAAAAGGAAAAACUUCAAAUACCACCUACUGUGAUUUCAUACUUUUUCACUUUAAUACUAUAUGAUUUAAAGUGCAUUAAUUUAAUAUUAUGUAAUUUUAUUUUUCUCCUUUUAUCGGCUUUUCUGUUAAUAUUUCGUUAAAUUAUAUACAAAACAUUUCAGAUACCUUACUUAGUUUUUUAAAAUAUUUACUUUAGUUCCUUUUAGUUUUAACUUUUUCACUGAUUUUUUUUUCUCCGUUAAUAUUUUGUUAAAUUAUAUACAAAAAAUUUCAGAUACCCUACAUAAAUUUAUCGAAUAUUUAUUUUAGUAUUCUUUAAUUUUAACUUUGUCACUGAUUUAACGAAAAAACUAGUGAAAUAAAUAAUAAAAAGAAAAAAAAAAUCACGGAGUACUAACUUGAUAUACUUUAAACCACAGAAUAUUAAAAUAAGAAAGUGCGAAACUAUAUGAGCUAACUUUAUACACUUUAAAUCAUAGUGUAUUAAAAUAAAAAAGUGUAAAAUUAUAAAGUACUAAAUUAAUACACUUUAACUAUACCGUACGAAAAUGAAAUAU
rnacentral:lncRNA from 1 species